AGUGAACGCUGGCGGUAGGCCUAACACAUGCAAGUCGAACGGCAGCAUAGUAAGAGCUUGCUCUUACGGGUGGCGAGUGGCGGACGGGUGAGGAAUACAUCGGAAUCUACUUUUUCGUGGGGGGUAACGUAGGGAAACUUACGCUAAUACCGCAUACGACCUACGGGUGAAAGCAGGGGAUCUUCGGACCUUGCGCGAUUGAAUGAGCCGAUGUCGGAUUAGCUAGUUGGCGGGGUAAAGGCCCACCAAGGCGACGAUCCGUAGCUGGUCUGAGAGGAUGAUCAGCCACACUGGAACUGAGACACGGUCCAGACUCCUACGGGAGGCAGCAGUGGGGAAUAUUGGACAAUGGGCGCAAGCCUGAUCCAGCCAUACCGCGUGGGUGAAGAAGGCCUUCGGGUUGUAAAGCCCUUUUGUUGGGAAAGAAAAGCAGCAGGUUAAUACCCCGCUGUUCUGACGGUACCCAAAGAAUAAGCACCGGCUAACUUCGUG
rnacentral:rRNA from 1 species